rnacentral:rRNA from 1 species
CGGGGGGGGCAAGCGUUGUUCGGAAUUACUGGGCGUAAAGGGCGCGUAGGCGGCCUGCUAAGUCGGACGUGAAAUCCCCCGGCUCAACCGGGGAACUGCGUCCGAUACUGGUGGGCUCGAAUCCGGGAGAGGGAUGUGGAAUUCCAGGUGUAGCGGUGAAAUGCGUAGAUAUCUGGAGGAACACCGGUGGCGAAGGCGGCAUCCUGGACCGGCAUUGACGCUGAGGCGCGAAAGCCAGGGGAGCAAACGGGAUUAGAUACCCCGGUAGUCCUGGCCCUAAACGAUGAGUGCUUGGUGUGGCGGGUAUCGAUCCCUGCCGUGCCGAAGCUAACGCAUUAAGCACUCCGCCUGGGGAGUACGGUCGCAAGGCUG